GGAAACUGUCCAGCUGCACCUGUGGGCAGGAGCUGAUGGGAUUAAUGUUUACACAUGGAAGCAAAAUGUCACAAACUUACUGCAGGCUUUCCCUGUGACUUUCAGGAAUACUGCCAUCAGAUCCUGUGUAUAGAAGCCAUAGCAAAGUGUACUGUAAAUGGGCGGAGAACAGCAAGGACUCCAGCUCUGUCCUGAGGGGAAAAGCACAGCCCUGCCAAGAACACAAAGAGUGCAGAAUGACAGUAACUAUGCUGAGCAAUCCCACAUUAAAAGCACCAACCUGCCUGCAUGGAGGGAAAAUGGAUUGCCUCUAUAAGAUCAAAACUCCAGUCUCCUGAUGCAAGAGACAAAGACUCCUGCAGCUUUAACACCUUCUGUGGCUCUUCAGGAGAACCAGGAAAUAAACAGAGGCUUGUUGCGGCAGCGUUAUCACUCCCGGUCUGUUUGGAGUUGAACCAAGAGCUACAAAUCUGCAGAGCCGCCCAGUGGUGGACGAGGGUGAAAUAACUCAUCAGACGGAUUGGAGAUGUUUUCGCAGCGGGAUGGUUUGGCAACGCAUAGAAUCCCUAGUGAGGGAGAAAGAAAAAUGACGGGUAGCGGAGAGAGGAAUGAAGUCUUAUUUGGCUAGAGACUCACAACCACCCACCCACCCACAUACAGAAGAACAAGGACCCAGUUGGCUGAAGUUUCUGAUAAACCACUGCAGUGUGGGAAAGCUCAUCACUCAUCUUCAAAUGGUUAUCAGAAAAAAAACGGCACACACUGGGUGACUGUUUCUGAAAAACUUCCAGUAGAUACAGAGGAACCUGCACUUAACAUGCAUUUACACUACCUUUCAAAGUUUUUUUUAAGCAGCACUCAAUCAACAUUGAUAAUAUUAACAAAUGUGUAUUGAGCACCAAAUCAGCAUAUUAGAAUGAUUUCUGAAGGAUCAUGUGACACUGAAGACUGGAGUAAUGAUGCUGAAAAUUCACCUUUGCCAUUGCAGGAAUAAAUUAAGUUUGAAAAUAUUUAAAAACAGAAAACAGUUAUUUUAAAUAGUAAUAAUAUUUCACAAUGUUACUAUUUUCACUGUAUUAAUCAGUCAGUCUUUUUGCAGGUUACGCUGUUGCAUCAGUAGGUCUUUUUAAGUAAAUGAAUCAUUCAGUAAACCCAUUUCAAAUCAAAAACACUGAUCAUUCAGGAGCGCCACUUCAGUGUGUUGGCCGGAUUUUUCUUUGGCUCUUUGUUUGGAACUAUUUUCAUUGGUGGAGCAAAAAGUAAAAAAAGUAAAGCAAAAAGUUUUCUAAUGCAUAGCUGCUCAAUAUUAACUUCUUGUUUAUUAAACUCAUUACGCAUUACAUGUAACAUGAGUUAUGUAAUCAGAUUACUUUUUUCAAGUAACGCAUUUUAAAUUUACAGGCAGUUACUUUUUCAAAUAAGUAACGCAAGUUACUUUGUCUUCCCAUUUAUAGACUGAAACCUCUCCUGUCCCUAUGUUGAAAGAAAUAAAUGAAAACAGUGAAAUGCAAAACUUAUAUGCCUAAAACUGCAAUAAUUAAAUAUGAAAAUAACACAAAUAUACUUUAUGUAUUUAAUCUCACUUUAUUAACCAAUGUCUAUCCUUCUGACCUUUGAUGAUCCAAUUCAACCAUACUAAUAAGCAAAAAUGAUUUUAGAUAAACAUCAAAUUUGUUUCAUUUUUUUAUUGCUGAAAUAAUUGUUAAACAUUACAUUGUCUUUACAUUUGACAAAAAUAGAACUUUUGUUUUUUUGUAAUUAAAAAAACAAAGCAAGCAAGCCCAGCCCAUGUAAGGAAAAAGUAAUGUAACACAUUACUUUCCAUAAAGAUUAACUAAAUAACACAAUUUGUUGCUUUUUUAGAAAGUAACGCAAUAUUGUAAGGCUUUACUUUUAAAAGUAACUUUCCCCAACACUGAUUAAACUAUAUUGUAUAAAAUCUCACUUUCUAGUGAUUCAGCAUGUCUAGCUGUAAAAGAAAAAACUUAAAAAAAAAAAAAAAUGAAUGAACCAGUCAAGAAUUUUAUAGACAGACCCUUAGCACUUUGUCAUACUAAUUGUUUCAAUUCUUUUUUAUUGACUGCCGAAUCAGAACAAACAGUAAGGCAGUUUUUGUUACGAAGCUUGGGAGGAGGAUGGGUUUCUUUCAAGGCUCUAAGGGAGUAUUUGGCUGAACAUUUGGGUGUUCAGGCCUCAAGUACUGUGAAACUGUCUGAGACAACAAUUUUGAUCAAAAAGCUCUGAUUUGAACUUAAACUGAUUGGCUUUCACAGAAACCAGAGAACUCCAGCUGAAGAACUACUUGGCAUCUUCUAUUGAAACCCAUUAAGAAGAAACUGAACGUGUUACUGUUCCUGUUUUUCUUGUCACUGCUGGACCUCUAAUACUUCUGUAAUCUUGCUAAAUUGUUCCUUUUCUCGUUAUCGUGGUCUCCUCUGGAGUUUUAGUCAUAGCUUAUUUUCCUGAGAGACUUGGAAAUAUGAUUUUCAGAGGAGUGAAGCAUUCAGAUUGGAGUAUUAAUCAGACUCGAUUCUGAGAUUAGCGAAAUCCCUUGUUAAAACAAAUGACUGACCUCAGCCGAAUGCAGACUCUCAUUGUUUUCCCUCAGACAACAGGGAGGAAGCCUCCAACCUUCGCUCCGCUUUCUCCAUCUUUUCCUCUAUCUAUCUCUCUAUCACUGACAUCACAGUGGAAGCCUUUGACUUCCUGUUCCCUGGACGGCCUCAACUUCUGGAAAUCUUGCGCUGAACUUUUGAUGUCUUCCGCAGUUUUGGCAUAGCUGCAGGGUGUAGGUGAUUGAGAAAUCUCAUCUCUGGUCACAAGAGACGCAGACAUCAUGAGUCCUAAGUUGUUUUUGUUGAUAGGAUCAUGGAAAAUGUGAAUAUGUACAGUUUCAGAUGGAGCUCUAAUCAGAAGCCUCAGAGUCAUCUCAGACUCAGCCUGCCGCACUAGACUAAUUUCAUUGAGAUUUGUUUUGAUUUGUUUUGAUUUUUGUUUUGAGAUUUAAUCCACAAAAAUGUGAUAUGUGAGGGGGGGGAUAUGUGAACGAGUUAGUGAGACAGAUCCAGAUGGAUGCUAUUUUUGAUUUAUGGGAAAACAUUUCUGCUUUUUACCUUACUGCAAAGAACCAGAUUACAACUGAACAAACCCCAAGUACUCAGAUAACAUCGCAGAGUAAUCCCAAUCUGGCAAGGGCACCAAACAAAAGAAAGAGGGAAAGGCAGGCAUACAGAAAGAAAGAGAGAGAAAGAAAGAAAGAAGGCCAAGAGAGAAUGAUGGAGGGAAAUGGAGAUAUAGGGAAAGAGAAGUAGUUAAAAAAAAAAAAAAAAAAGAUGACACGCUGAAAAGAUGUACUGUUGUAGGUAUGCUUGUCAUCACUUGGUGAGACGGAUGUUUGAGCUCUCAUAAAGUUAGUAUGCUUACGAGGACCUCUGCUGGAAUAAACAGGUAAUUCACCACAAAAUUUGAUGACAGUUUUGAAUAGGUUUCUUUAGAAUAAUAGCCAGGAAAUAUCUGAAGAUAUUUCUUAAUUUUAACAUUAGCCUCAUAUGUUUCACACUGUUCAAUUUGUCGUGGGUUAGUAGGCCUAAUUAAUCCUGGAUUGUCAGGUUUUUGAUAUUCCACACUAUACAUGUUAACCCUGGGUUAACAUUCUCAUUUGCGUAUUUAUGUAUAUGCAAAAUGUCUGCUGUGGUUGUUUUAAAUCUUCUUAAAGACACUACAAAAAUAAUAUGUCUUCAUAACUCCAGUAAAUUCAGUUGCACCUUCUUUUCAAUUGUUUCCAUUAGAUGCUGAAACUAAACACUGUGAAAGUUUCUGUGACUACAGUAUAUUGUAUAUGAAUAUUUAAUGAGGCCUGCUUUCCCAGGGAAAGAUGAUGAAGGGAAAGAAAAUAAAGUGAAAUGAAAAACAGAAGAAUAAAACAGCUACAGCUCGAAGAGCUCAACACAAACUGUUCCUACUGCGCUGCUACACGGCCUACUGUUCUACCACCUCAGAGACACUGCGAGAGAGAAAGAGGGCAAGAGAGGAGACGAGGAAAGAGACCCCGACAAGGACAUGCCGAUUCCACCCAAGAGAACAACGCUGGAAGGAAGAAAAGCGAAUAAGAGAUUGGAUGACAGAGUUCCAGCAGAGAAAAUAAAUGAAGAAUUUAGGUGCAUUCAGAUGGAAGAUUGAGGAGGAAGACUAUGGUGUAAUAAGGUGGGGUGUAUCAGGAAGCUACAAACAUCAUUCCACAGAGUCAAGGAAACACAAACCAUUUGACAACACUGUCUUACAGAAACCAGACAAUACCCUUUUCAUUAGCGAACAACGUCUGUGUGUUGUGUGUCUGCACAUAUUUGCUGACAGGCAGGCACGCCUCUGCAGGUAAAUUGCAUUUUUUUUUUUUUUUUUUUGCCAUCCCGUUGGCAGCUUCUCUCAUUCAGGUGUCUGUCCGUUAUUGCAACAUUUGGCACUAUACAAAUAAAAAACAUUAUAAAAAAGAUCCUGCUAUAUUGGCAGGUGAACCUUG